rnacentral:rRNA from 1 species
AGCGAACGCUGGCGGCAGGCCUAACACAUGCAAGUCGAACGAACCUUUCGGGGUUAGUGGCGGACGGGUGAUUAACACGUGGGAACAUGCCUUUAGGUUCGGAAUAACUCAGGGAAACUUGUGCUAAUACCGAAUGUGCCCUUCGGGGGAAAGAUUUAUCGCCUUUAGAGCGGCCCGCGUCUGAUUAGCUAGUUGGUUGAGGUAAUGGCUCACCAAGGCGACGAUCAGUAGCUGGUCUGAGAGGAUGAUUAGCCACAUUGGGACUGAGACACGGCCCAAACUCCUACGGGAGGCAGCAGUGGGGAAUCUUGCGCAAUGGGCGAAAGCCUGACGCAGCCAUGCCGCGUGAAUGAUGAAGGUCUUAGGAUUGUAAAAUUCUUUCACCGGGGACGAUAAUGACGGUACCCGGAGAAGAAGCCCCGGCUAACUUCGUG